rnacentral:rRNA from 1 species
GACGAACGCUGGCGGCGUGCUUAACACAUGCAAGUCGAACGGAAAGGCCCUGCUUUUGUGGGGUGCUCGAGUGGCGAACGGGUGAGUAACACGUGAGUAACCUGCCCUUGACUUUGGGAUAACUUCAGGAAACUGGGGCUAAUACCGGAUAGGAGCUCCUGCUGCAUGGUGGGGGUUGGAAAGUUUCGGCGGUUGGGGAUGGACUCGCGGCUUAUCAGCUUGUUGGUGGGGUAGUGGCUUACCAAGGCUUUGACGGGUAGCCGGCCUGAGAGGGUGACCGGCCACAGUGGGACUGAGAUACGGCCCAGACUCCUACGGGAGGCAGCAGUGGGGAAUAUUGCACAAUGGGCGGAAGCCUGAUGCAGCAACGCCGCGUGCGGGAUGACGGCCUUCGGGUUGUAAACCGCUUUCGCCUGUGACGAGGCGUGAGUGACGGUAAUGGGUAAAGAAGCACCGGCUAACUACGUG